rnacentral:rRNA from 1 species
UCCUACGGGGCGCAGCAGUAGGGAAUUUUCGUCAAUGGGCGCAAGCCUGAACGAGCAAUGCCGCGUGAACGAGGAAGGUCUUCAGAUCGUAAAGUUCUGUUGUAGGGGAAAAAGAGCGGAGAGAGGAAAUGGUCUCCGAUUGAUAUUACCCUUCGAGGAAGUCACGGCUAACUACGUGCCAGCAGCCGCGGUAAUACGUAGGUGGCGAGCGUUAUCCGGAAUGAUUGGGCGUAAAGGGUGCGUAGGCGGCCUGCUAAGUCUGGAGUGAAAGGUACCGGCUCAACCGGUACAGGCUCUGGAAACUG